rnacentral:rRNA from 1 species
UACGAGGGGGGCGAGCGUUGUUCGGAAUUAUUGGGCGUAAAGGGCGUGUAGGCGGUUCGUUAAGUCUGAUGUGAAAGCCCCGGGCUCAACCCGGGAAGUGCAUUGGAAACUGGCGAACUUGAGUACGGGAGAGGGCAGUGGAAUUCCCAGUGUAGAGGUGAAAUUCGUAGAUAUUGGGAAGAACACCGGUGGCGAAGGCGGCUCACUGGCUCAUUACUGACGCUCAGGCGCGAUAGCGUGGGGAUCAAACAGG